rnacentral:lncRNA from 1 species
AGAAGGCUAAGCGCGGGUUCUAAGCCUCAUGAACCUUUUUUGAAAAUUUUGACAACUUUCGGCUAGAUUGGUUUAGUGGCUCAUGAUUUUUGGGAAAGAAAUAAAUAUAAUAUAAAUGGGAUUUCUAUUGAAGGAAAUAUGGAGAGAACAAAAAAAAAACAGAGUUUUUGGGAGAGGGAGUGUUUAUAGGAAAAAAAAAUAGAUGUCAAAUAUGUGCCACUCCAUCCCCUAUUUAUAGUACUAGAAAACCUAGUCUAUUCCUAAUGAAAUUCUAAAAGAUAAAUACAAAUAAAUAAAAAUAAUUAAAGAUAAAUAAAGAUAAAUGAAAAUAAAUCCUAAAAUUUAAAUCUAAAUAAAAAUCUUUAAUAAUUAUCCUAAUAUAAUUGAAAUUAAAAUAGAGUCUUGUGCUAUAAAAUCUCUUCUUUUGCAUUGUAGUCCUUGGGUCUUCCAUGUUUGCAUUUUUGGCACAACUUCUUUCUUUCUUUGCAUGUUGGCCCAUUAUAUCUUCAAAUUUGUACUUAUUGCCCUUAAAUUUCCUCUUGCCUCCAAUUUAAUCCCUAAAAGAUAAAAGACCAUAAAUAGCCCAAAUUAGUAGCAUCAUACUCAAAAUAAAUAUAUAAUUAGCACAUAAAAAUAUGACGUUCUAGAGUAUUAUCAAGAAGUAAGAAAAUGAAGACAACAAUGGUGAAGAAAAAUAGGAGGGGCGACACAAUGAUGCAAAAAUUAGGGUUUUAUGGCUGCAUAGUGAAAAAAGGGAAAAGAACUAAAGGAAAGAGAGUAAGAAAAAAGGGUGGGACGGCAAUAGGAAAGCAAACUAUGAGUGAAAGAGGCUAAAAACAAAUAAAAAUAUGUUAUAUACUAAGGUUUGAAAGCAUGGGGUGGCAACUACUAAAAUUUUGGGCAAAGAUACAAAAAAAAAAUUAUGUAGGAGAGGGGAAUCAAACACAAGUUUCAGGGAUAAUUUCACUAACUCUUAACCAUCUAGCCAGUAACUCAAUCUUGAUACAGUCAUGCAAAGUUAACAGUAAAAAUUCAGGAUGUGACAAAUGAUCUUAGCCUUUAGAUCAAAAUAAAUGGUUCUGAGUUAUAGAUUCUAUAGUUAUCUUACUUUAUCAACAUAUAAC